AACGCACAUUGCGCCUUUUGGUAUUCCGAGAGGCACGCCUGUCUGAGCGUCAGCAAAACCUUCGGGAGUAGUAACUUUUGUGACUUAUCCCCGGCGUUGGCGGCGGGCGAUCCCCCCGUGGGAUCCCCCCGCUUAAACCUGGCGCGGGGCAAGUGCUGGUGGCCGCUUCAAUAGUAGAGAUAUUUUUGAAAGCUAAUACCGCAACUGCCCCCUCUAAGAAUUCUACCAUUCUUUUGACCUCAGAUCAGACGAGGAUACCCGCUGAACUUAA
rnacentral:misc_RNA from 1 species